rnacentral:misc_RNA from 1 species
CUUUCAUGCUGUUUCUCUUUCCCCCCUCUCCCCUCCGCUCCCAUUCAUCGUAGCAACAAGAGAGAGAAGCAAAAGGGGGAUCGCUGUUCUUACGCAGAGGUGUCUUGUUCAUCGAAGGUUAUCGGCCCUUGACCCCCCUCCCCUACCUUUCUCUCGCUCUCUUCCCCACCCCUCACAUCCGCGCUUCUUUUGUGCCCACGUUCUUCCUCAUAAUUCCGCUUACGCUUACCGUCACCACCACCAUCUCUCUCACCCGCUCUGCCUCGGUGUCUGGGUGUCUACCCCUUAACGACAAGGAUAAGAGCCCCUGUACAUACGUACACGUACGUAUGCGUAUACGUAUUGAUGUAUAUACAUAUAUAUAUAAAGUAUAUACGCGCACCUCUGUAGCGUCGGCGGGGAGGCUCCUCUCUGCACAACACACCAGAAAUACAAAUAUAUAUAUAUAUAUACAUACAUAGGCGCAAUAGCAGUGAAACAGCAACAGCAGCGCGUAAGUCGUCUGCCGUGGUACAGACACACGCACACACACACACACCACACGCACAGACGUGCUCAUACCCGCCAUACGCAUCCACCUACGUUGAUACGGUGCUUCCUCCCUCACCCCUUCCUCCUCACCCAGACACUUGACGAUUCGUUUAACUUCUCCCCACUCCCUUCGCCCUUUCCUGGAUCAGCCCUCGGAAGCGAACGUAAUAGUGUUCGCCCUGCGCAGUUUUGCUUUUGCUGUUUGCUUUUGAAGGAGAGGGCACGCCAGCUGCACACACGAUAUUGUGUGCAUCCCUCUCGCUCGCACAGAGGUCUGCAAGCCCGAACAGAGCACGGAAACGGAAAGAGGAAAAAUAUGUGGCGCCGUGCAGCUUGUCAGGCGGUCACCUCCCGCCUCUUCCGCCGUGCGGUGGCUGCCAACACCGCAUCGUCGUCGUCGGCACUUCGCGAGAAUUGCCGCACCGGCGUCAUCAUUGGCAACCCCAAGCAAGGCAUGAUGGACCCCAUCCAUGUGAGCUGGACCGACAUCGCCGGCUCCGACACCACACCAGGGGCACGCCUGGCCGCUGGCCGCGUGCUGUCGAUGCUCGACAUGUGCGCCGCCCGCACCUCUCAGAAGGCGGUUGACCAUCAGGCCUGUCUGACUCAUGAGCGGUACCUGACCUGCACCGUGGGCGUCACGGACACAAUUUUCUCGUCGCCCAUCCUGCACGGUGACGCGGUCCGUCUAGACAGCCGCCUGGUGCACUGUGGCUCCAGCUCCAUGGGCAUUUACAUUCGGUUUUACCGGCAGUCGCCGUCGACCCGCACCGAGACGCCGGCUGGCCAUUCCUUCUUCACCAUGGUGGCCAUCACGCCAGAUUUGAAGGCGGCCAAGGUGGUGCCAGCGAUAGAGCUGACGGACCCGUUUGACAUUGAACUGCAUAACCACUAUGUGAAAGUUCGCAAGCUUCAGGAGGAAAACAAGAAGAACACGGCCGAGCGCUUGAAGCGCACCCUCACCACGGAGGAGGUGCAGUGCUCCAUCAACCAGCAGAAGCCCACUCAUGCCCGCAUCAACUCCACCAAGGUGGAGGCGAACCGCAUCUUCUUCACAUCCUGCAUGAACAACAACAACACCGUCUUUGGCGGAGAGCUGAUGGCGUGGAUGGAGCAGCACGCCGUUCAUUGCGGCCGCACGUUCACCGCCAACCGCCAUGUCUUUACGAUUGGAAUGCACAGUGUUGCCUUCCCCGAGCCGGUGUUCGCCACGGACUGGGUGACGCUCGAGGCGACCGUCAUAUAUGUGCGCAACACCACAAUGGAGGUGGAUGUGGUGCUCAAGGCGGAGCGCAAAGACACCAGCACCGUCAUCACGAAUCGUGCGUCCUUUGUGUUGAUCAAUAACGAUGAUAUUGGGCGGAAAUGCACCAUCCCGGUCGGGCUGGAGCUGAAUGGGGCGACGCAGGAGGAACUCCAGCAGUUCAUGGAGGCCCGUGUACGAUACCGCUGCAGCGUGGCCCGUCGUGACGACCUCCAUGCCAGCAACCUUUGUACAGGCAUGACGAAGCUGUAGGUUAACGAACAAAAAAAAACAAGCGGGGGAAAGGAAGAGAGAAAAUAAGUGAGGAGCGAUGGACGCUGGCGCGCUAGUGGCUGACGUGGCAGCACUCAUUCCCAUGAGCGCAGUUGUGAGGAUACGUGCGUGUUGAGGUGAAUAUCUAUGCUUGUGUACAUUAUCAUAUUGGUGGUGGCAUGCGCCUUUUUAC